rnacentral:rRNA from 1 species
AGAGUUUGAUUCUGGCUCAGAAUGAACGCUGGCGGCGUGCUUAACACAUGCAAGUCGAGCGAGAAAGUUUCUUCGGAAGCGAGUACAGCGGCGGACGGGUGAGUAACGCGUGAGAAUCUGCCCUUCAGUGAAGGAUACCUUCGAGAAAUUGAAGUUAAUACUGCAUACGUCCCUUCGGGGAGAAAGAUGGCCUCUUGCUGUCGCUGAUGGAUGAGCUCGCGUACUAUUAGUUUGUUGGUGGGGUAAUGGCCUACCAAGACGAUGAUGGUUAGCCGGCCUGAGAGGUGAACGGCCACACUGGAACUUAGACACGGUCCAGACUCCUACGGGAGGCAGCAGUGAGGAAUAUUGCGCAAUGGGCGAAAGCCUGACGCAGCAACGCCGCGUGGGGGAUGAAGGUUCUAGGAUCGUAAACUCCUGUUAAGUGGGAAGAAAGCCCUUCUUUUAAUAGAAGAGGGGGAUGACGGUACCAUUAGAGAAAGCACCGGCUAACUUCGUGCCAGCAGCCGCGGUAAUACGAGGGGUGCAAGCGUUAUUCGGAUUUAUUGGGCGUAAAGGGUGUGUAGACGGCAUGCUAAGUCGAUUGUUAAAUCCUCCGGCCUAACCGGAGUUCAGCAUUCGAUACUGGCAAGCUAGAGGGUGAGAGAGAGAAGUGGAAUUCUCGGAGUAGCGGUAAAAUGCGUAGAUCUCGAGAGGAACACCAAUGGCGAAGGCAGCUUCUUGGCUCACUCCUGACGUUGAGACACGAAAGCGUGGGGAGCAAACAGGAUUAGAUACCCUGGUAGUCCACGCCGUAAACGAUGAUCACUGGACGUCAGUUCUGUUUAACAGGAUUGGUGUCGUAGCUAACGCGCUAAGUGAUCCGCCUGGGGAUUACGGUCGCAAGACUAAAACUCAAAGAAAUUGACGGGGGUCCGCACAAGCGGUGGAACAUGUGGUUUAAUUCGACACUCCGCGAGGAACCUUACCUAGGCUUGACAUGCUUUUGACCGCUAUAGGAACAUAGCUUUCCAAGCUUCGGUUUGGACAAUUGCACAGGUGCUGCAUGGCUGUCGUCAGCUCGUGUCGUGAGAUGUUGGGUUAAGUCCUUUAACGAGCGCAACUCCUACUGCCAGUUGCUACUAUUAAGUUAAGCACUCUGGUGGGACUGCCUGGGAAACCAGGAGGAAGGUGGGAAUGACGUCAAGUCCUCAUGGCCCUUAUGCCUAGGGCUACACACGUGUUACAAUGGUCGGUACAAAGAGUCGCCAACCCGCAAGGGCGAGCUAAUCUCAGAAAGCCGAUCUAAGUUCGGAUUGAGGUCUGCAACUCGACCUCAUGAAGUUGAAAUCGCUAGUAAUCGCGUAUCAGAAACGACGCGGUGAAUACGUUCUCGGACCUUGUACACACCGCCCGUCACACCACGAAAGUUGUCUGUACCCGAAGUUGCUUUAGCUAACCUGUAAGGGAGGCGAGUACCUAAGGUAUGGGGGAUGAUUG